UUGGAGCGUUCACUUCGGACAGUUCUUUAACAGUAUAUAUUGUCUUCGCUUUAGCUACUAAACGCAUAAGCCAAACUGAACGCUUUUUCCCAUAUUGAUUCGCUCGAUCGUUCGAACUUCGCAGCCAAGUUAAAGGAAGGGUACAUGUGUUGUAUAUGAUUCAGACAAACUUGACCAGAUCACCUGCAAUCAAAACUGACACCACCAAUUUGGAUAGCAAUGAAUGAUCACUACAGCUUUUCUGUACAAUAUACUAAAUAGUUAAACUUCACCCACAGCCGAGGGUAUUAUUUAUUUACAGAGGCAACUUUUUAAUUUAUAAAAAAGGUAACGUAUAAAUUCAAAGGUGUGGAAGCAUAUACAUAUAUAAAUCCUUUAUCUUCUAUAUCAAUGUUAUAUCUACGCAAGGACAUGGCGGAUUUUUCACAAAUUAUUUUCCAGGGCUAGUCAGCGUCAGCGUUUUAAUGUACAUUUAUUUUCCGGCCAUUAAACAGUGUACUUUAACAAUAAAUUUAGCUUUGUUAUCUGCAGACAAUUAAAAAUUUUUGUCCACCUAAAUUAGGUGGUGAUGUGAGCGUCUUGAAAGUGCAAGAGACAACGCUACCACCACUAUCGCCGCGUUGACGUGUGAUUACAGCGUCCCUUCGCUCCGCUGGUGGCACUGGCCUCUGCUCGGGCAGCCUUUCCUGCCGCGCCGCUGCUGCCGAGUUAUUGUUGCGGUGCAUGAAGUUCCGAAUAUUUUCCUCAGUGUAGUCCACAAUUCGGCGCUUCUUGCGGCGGCCGUACUGUUUCUGCUUCAAAUAAAUUUUCAGAAUUCCCUUGACCGUUAUAAAGGUCAGACCUCCAAGCAGAGUACGAUGCAAUGUGUUAUCAACCGUGUCAAAGAGAAUACGUCCCACGAUCGACGAUAUGGUGGGCAGCAAGAGAGCGCCGCAGAAGACCCUCGUGGCUGAGACAGGGUCAGAGAGAGCCGGUGUGGCCGGAUUGCUGAUGCUUUGCUGUUCCUCUUCCUGGCUGCUGCUUAAAUGUAAAGUAAUAAAAGUCUGCUAACCCUGACAUUGUUGAUGCACUUACAGGUUCGGAUAAAUAAGGCUUACAAAAGGAAACUUCCGCACCACCGUCCCGCGGUUUCGAAUAAGACGCAACAAUGCAUCCUCCCAGCGAAUCAAUCGACCAAGCACAAGCCCCACUGGAAUAGCCGGCAACCCAAUAAGGAGAACGAGCGGAUCUCCAGACUCCAUUAUGGACAUGCCGUGCUCAUGUCCGACAAUCUACAGACAAUUAAUUCUCUUAGCAUGACAACUGAUUAAAAAUGAUAGGUUGUACCUGUAAAAAUGUGACUGCUCCGUAAGUUACUGCUGUCCAGUAGAGGGAGCCCACGAAGAAACCAGCCGCCAGGAAGGGGCUCAGGCGCUUGAUGAGGUUAUCUAUUGCCUCUAAAGCACCUCCAAGCUUGCCCAUCUGCGGGAACACUAUGAUGUACUCCGUUUGGCACUGCGGACACGAUACAGUGCGUAGAGCGUUACCCUUCUGGGUUUUUUCAUCGAUCCAGCGGUAGAGGCAGCUCUGGUGCACCCACUUGGUGGUGCCGCGGCACUGACAGGGCUUCACCCACGCCGCCAGACGGUUGUCCUCAUCGGUGGCGAAGCAGAUCCAGCAGCAGCGUUCCGGCUCCCCCCCAUCGACGGCCACUUGGACGGCAGUGGAAGUGGAAGCGUCCGUGGCUUUGUUCGCUGAAGCAGGUGGAACGGUCAGCGUGGUGU
ensembl:ncRNA asRNA:CR45999 antisense RNA:CR45999